AAUUCAAUUAUCGGUGUAAGUGAGAAAGAAGGGUUUAACUUUACUCAGACGGAG
rnacentral:tRNA from 1 species